rnacentral:ncRNA from 1 species
UAAUAGGCAAAUCAAUUGAAAGAUUGAGACGCAAAGUUAGGUGUCUAAACGAUAUAUCCGCAUGACAGACCGACUGC